CAAUCAAGCAGAAAAAACAAAAAAUCCAGUUCUAGCGGAUGAACAAUAUGAUCAACAAUAAUCCUCAGUUCAGGUCUCCAAAUUGCUUCCACAUCGCACCUUAGUGCAUCAGAAGAACGAAAGUAUUUAGUUUGAUCAUCAUCAGACAGCUUCCACCAUCAUAUAAAAAAG